rnacentral:rRNA from 1 species
GUAGGUGGCAAGCGUUGUCCGGGAAUUAUUGGGGCGUAAAGCGCGCGCAGGCGGUUCUUUAAGUCUGAUGUGAAAGCCCACGGGCUCAACCGUGGGAGGGUCAUUGGAAACUGGAGAACUCGAGUACAGAAGAGGAAAGCAGAAUUCCACGUGUAGCGGUGAAAUGCGUAGAGAUGUGGAGGAACACCAGUGGCGAAGGCGGCUUUCUGGUCUGUAACUGACGCUGAGGCGCGAAAGCGUGGGGAGCAAACAGGAUUAGAUACCCUGGUAGUCCACGCCGUAAACGAUGAGUGCUAAGUGUUAGGGGGUUUCCGCCCCUUAGUGCUGCAGCUAACGCAUUAAGCACUCCGCCUGGGGAGUACGGCCGCAAAGGCUGA